AAUGAGCCGAAGCCAGUAAUGAUCUA
rnacentral:piRNA from 1 species